UACGUAGGGUGCGAGCGUUACUCGGAAUUACUGGGCGUAAAGUGUGCGCAGGUGGCUGAGCAAGUCGAGUGUGAAAUCCCCGGGCUUAACUUGGGAAUUGCGCUCGAAACUAGUUGGCUCGAGUGUGGCAGAGGAGGGUGGAAUUCCAGGUGUAGCGGUGAAAUGCGUAGAGAUCUGGAGGAACACCGAUGGCGAAGGCAGCCUUCUGGGCCAACACUGACGCUCAUGCACGAAAGCGUGGGGAGCAAACAGG
rnacentral:rRNA from 1 species